GAAGCUGGAUUCGCUAGUAAUCGCGCAUCAGCCACGGCGCGGUGAAUACGUUCCCGGGCCUUGUACACACCGCCCGUCAAGCCAUGGAAGCCGGGGGUGCCUGAAGUGCGCUGCCGCAAGGAGCGCCCUAGGGUAAAACCGGUGACUGGGGCUAAGUCGUAACAAGGUAAC
rnacentral:rRNA from 1 species